AUACGGAGGGUGCGAGCGUUAAUCGGAAUUACUGGGCGUAAAGCGUGCGUAGGCGGCAUGGUCAGUCGGAUGUGAAAGCCCAGGGCUUAACCUUGGAAUUGCAUUCGAUACUGCCAAGCUAGAGUAUGAUAGAGGAAAGUGGAAUUCCCGGUGUAGCGGUGAAAUGCGUAGAUAUCGGGAGGAACAUCAGUGGCGAAGGCGACUUUCUGGAUCAAUACUGACGCUGAGGUGCGAAAGCGUGGGUAGCAAACGGCAUUAGAAACCCUAGUAGUCC
rnacentral:rRNA from 1 species